CAGAUAAAUCUGUGCAGGUGAAGGAGUGACUGACAGUGUCGAGAACUCCAUCCUGAAGAUGAACAACAUGUUUGGCAGACCAUUGAGGAGUUCUGCCUUUGACCUUGUCCCUGAGACCAGGCAGUGAAUGUGACCUGGGGCACAUUUUGAACCGGGAAAUGUGAUGUUUUGGAUUUUAGAAAAUCUAAUCCAAGACAAAAGCAUUGUUUGAAAAAAAAGAAGAAAGGUUAUGCUCCAGUGGAAAAGUCAUUGCUCAGAUUGCAAACUCUAUGAGGGAAGAGGAUGUUUUGAUCAUCAUAAUCCCCUGAGCAGAGCUGAAAUAGAUAAUAAACAACAGUAAAGACUGGAGUGAAUGAGUGAAUUGGGAGAAGAAACCAGUGGGUAAAUAAGAAAGAACAGAAAAAUCUAUAAGCAGGGAAUACUAAAGUAUGUCCCUAACAUACUUAAAUGUGAUACUUGUCAGAUAAGUUGGGCUAACAUGCAGCAAAAGGUUGUGUCCACCUGUCCAUCCAUUUGUCCAUCCAUCCAGCCAGUUCAGUGGUUAGGAACACAGUCAUUGAGGCAAGGGUUCAGCCAGUUACUGUGUGGCCGGGGCACGUUAUUUAAAUCUUAUUUUUGACUUGUGAAAGAGGGACACUGAUA